rnacentral:rRNA from 1 species
GUGCCAGCAGCCGCGGUAAUACGUAGGGGGCGAGCGUUGUCCGGAAUGACUGGGCGUAAAGGGUACGUAGGCGGCCAGGUAAGUCAGAUGUGAAAGGCAUAGGCUCAACCUGUGUAAGCAUUUGAAACUGUCUGGCUUGAGUUAAGGAGAGGAAAGUGGAAUUCCUGGUGUAGCGGUGAAAUGCGUAGAUAUCAGGAGGAAUACCAGUGGCGAAGGCGACUUUCUGGACUUAAACUGACGCUGAGGUACGAAAGCGUGGGGAGCAAACAGGAUUAGAUACCCUGGUAGUCCACGCCGUAAACGAUGAGUGCUAGGUGUCGGGGGUUAGACCUCGGUGCCGGAGUUAACACAUUAAGCACUCCGCCUGGGGAGUACGUUCGCAAGAAUGAAACUUAAAUGAAUUGACGG